rnacentral:rRNA from 1 species
AUUGAACGCUGGCGGCAGGCCUAACACAUGCAAGUCGAGCGAGCGGCGGACGGGUGAGUAAUGUCUGGGAAACUGCCUGAUGGAGGGGGUUAACUACUGGAAACGGUAGCUCAUACCCCAUACCCUCUGAUGUGCCCACAGGGGAUUAGCUAGUAGGUGGGGUAAUGGCUCACCUAGGCAACGAUCCCUAGCUGGUCUGAGAGGAUGACCAGCCAGUCUGGAACGGAGACACGGUCCAGACUCCUACGAGAGGAAGCAGGGGGGAAUAUUGCACAAGGGGCGCAAGCCUAAUGCAGCCAUGCGGCGUGUAUGAAGAAGGCCUUCGGGUUGUAAAGUACUUUCGGCGAGGAGGCGUUACUCGCAGAAGAAGCACCGGCUAACUCCGUGCCAGCAGCCGCGGUAAUAC